rnacentral:rRNA from 1 species
CCUACGGGAGGCAGCAGUGGGGAAUAUUGGGCAAUGGGCGCAAGCCUGACCCAGCAACGCCGCGUGAAGGAAGAAGGCUUUCGGGUUGUAAACUUCUUUUCUCAGGGACGAAGCAAGUGACGGUACCUGACUAUUAAGCUACGGCUAACUACGGGACAGCAGCCGCGGUACUACGUAGGUGGCAAGCGUUAUCCGGAUAUACUGGGUGCAAAGGGCGUGUAGGCGGGACUGCAAGUCAGCUGUGAAAACCACGGGCUCAACCUGUGGCCUGCCUUUGAAACUGUAGUUCUUGAGUACUGGAGAGGCAGACGGAAGUCCUAGUGUAGCGGUGAAAUGCGUAGAUAUUAGGAGGAACACCAGUGGCGAAGGCGGUCUGCUGGACAGCAACUGACGCUGAGGCGCGAAAGCGUGGGGAGCAAACAGGAUUAGAUACCCCAGUAGUC